GGAGGAACUCUGAGGAGCAUGAAGGAGAGAAUCAUGAAGCAGGAUCCUGGGGAGAGAGAAUCACUGCUGUGAGGUCUGAGCCAGUGGGGACGGAGCCACAUCUGAAGAGUGUGUUUUGCCUGUAUGGAAUAAUUGCAGAUAAGAAAAAAGGAACUUAUGACAGGAAAUGGUUCAUUCCAGUGCCUUAUCUCUGGUCAGUUCUUGCUGCUGGAUUCUCUCCAUGUAUUUAAAUGUCCUUAAGUUCAUCAUAUAGGGUACAACUUAGGUCUUAAAAAAUUUCUUAGCUGUCACUGAGAAGUGGAUGAGCAGGGAAGGGAAGAUUUUCCUGCUUGGCAGCAGCAGAACUACAUCUGUUUUAAGGCUGCCACAGAGCUUGUGUGUGAAGAGCUGCAGCUGAAGACCAGAUAGGAAAGGUUUCAUUGAAGUCCGGGAUUUCCACCUUUGUAGGGGAACGUCUCUCUGAGCAGCAAGAUGCAGUCACCCAGCCUGAUCUACAAAACCCAUGGUUUUAUGGUGAAACGCUCAGCCAGGGAAUGGCAAGGAGGGAUCUAUCCCCACGAGAAACUUUUGUGUGUUUGGGGAUUCAUUUACAUAAGUAUGUCCUGGCUUAAACUUUUCCCCCUGUGUGAAUGUGCCCCUUUUGCUUUGGGGCACACCUGAGCCUUUGGGCUGUACAUUGGUCACCUCUCUGAGUUCUUCAGCAGUUUUUGGUUUUGGUAAGAGAUGUUCUCAGGAGACAACCAAAUAUCUGAAUCUAGGGGACUGAUAACAUUAUUUCAGUUACCUGCUUCAGUUUGGAGAGAAAAUAAAUUUAAAUUGAUUCCUC